GGGCCUGUGGGUUAAUAGUUGAGCAUCUGCUUUGCAUGCAGAAGGUCCCAGGGGUUCAAACCCUGGCAUCUCCA
rnacentral:tRNA from 1 species